rnacentral:rRNA from 1 species
UACGUAGGGUCCGAGCGUUGUCCGGAUUUAUUGGGCGUAAAGAGCUCGUAGGCGGUUCCGUAAGUCGAGUGUGAAAAAUCUGGGCUCAACCCAGUGGAGCACUCGAUACUGCGGUGACUAGAGUACGGUAGAGGAGUGUGGAAUUCCUGGUGUAGCGGUGAAAUGCGCAGAUAUCAGGAGGAACACCGGUGGCGAAGGCGGAUCUCUGGGCCGAUACUGACGCUGAGGAGCGAAAGCGUGGGGAGCGAACAGG